AAACUUUUAACAACGGAUCUCUUGGCUCUCGCAUCGAUGAAGAACGCAGCGAAAUGCGAUAAGUAAUGUGAAUUGCAGAAUUCAGUGAAUCAUCGAAUCUUUGAACGCACCUUGCGCCCUUUGGUAUUCCGAAGGGCAUGCCUGUUUGAGUGUCAUG
rnacentral:rRNA from 2 species